rnacentral:ncRNA from 1 species
CGAUGUCCAACACACCGUCGUACAUCGUGUUCCACAGGGUGGGGCCUAGGAUAGACCCCUGUGGAACCCCUGCCGUGACGGACCGCACUACCGGGCCAUCGGAGGUUUCAUAAACCAGCUUCCGGUCCUGGAAGUAGUUAUGUAUGAUGCGUUGGAGGCCGGCAGGAACACCUUUCGCCUGCAGCGCAGUGGCGAUGGCCUGCCAGCUGGCCGUGUUGAACGCGUUCCUGAAGUCUAGUGCAGCUACUAGCAGGGACCGUUUGUCGCGUCGGUUCGUGCGACCGAACGACAUCGCACGCUGGCCGGCCUCAAAAACGCCGGGAUAACUGGCUUGUGGCCUCCAAGCGUUCAUAGCGACGUGGCUUUUUGAUCCUUCGAUGUCGGCUCUUCCUAUCAUAGUCAAGCAAAAUUCACCAAGUGUUGGAUUGUUCAACCUUUCAAGGGAAGGUGAGCUGGGUUUAGACCGUCGUGAGACAGGUUAGUUUUACCCUACUGAUGUGUGCUUAUAGUCGCUAUCUUAACGGAAUUCCUGUGCAGUACGAGAGGAACUAUAGGUACGGAUCACUGGCUCAAUAUUAGGUACAUAAUGAGAAAUAUUGCUGGUACACAUGUAUAUUGUUUAAUAAUAAAAGUAUAAAAUAUGCCUCUCCCCAUAAUCCAACUUUGUGUUUUGUGUUUCGAAUCAGGAAGAUAAAUAAUAAGAAAUUAUAUGUUUUUUGAGAGACUUGGAAUGAUUUUUAUAGUCAAUGUCAUAAUAUAUUUACAUUAUUAAAAUACGAUAUUUGUGUAGUUCUUUAAAAAAACGAAAACUAACUAACAACUUUAAUUCACGCGUUUUAACAAACUUUGCUUAACACUAAAAUGCUC